rnacentral:rRNA from 1 species
CCUACGGGUGGCAGCGGUGAGGAAUAUUGGUCAAUGGACGAGAGUCUGAACCAGCCAAGUAGCGUGAAGGAUGACUGCCCUAUGGGUUGUAAACUUCUUUUAUAUGGGAAUGAAAUGUUCCACGUGUGGGAUUUUGUAUGUACCAUAUACAUAAAGAUCGGCUAACUCCUUGCCAGCAGCCGCGGUAAUACGGCGGAGCCGAGCGUUAUUCGGAUUUAUUGGGUUUAAAGGGAGCGUAGGUGGAUAUUUAAGUCAGUUGUGAAAGUUUGCGGCUCAACCGUAAAAUUGCAGUUGAAACUGGCAGUCUUGAGUACAGUAGAGGUGGGCGGAAUUCGUGGUGUAGCGGUGAAAUGCUUAGAUAUCACGAAGAACUCCGAUUGCGAAGGCAGCUCACUGGACUGCAACUGACACUGAGGCUCGAAAGUGUGGGUAUCAAACAGGAUUAGAUACCCUGGUAGUC